GUUUCCAGGUCCUGACCAGGAGGCAGGAGUCCAUACCGAGGCCCAAACAGGCUAGCCCUGAGCAGGGCCCCCAAGCCUGAGGCCCAGGAGUGGACAGACCUUUGUGACACCCAUUCUCUCUUCCUUUUCCAUCUGUCCGGAACUCUGGACACUGCCUGGAGGAAUCAGGCCUGCCGUAGGCCCAGGAAGGCGGAAACAAAGACGACGCUCAGAGACAGGAAGCAACUUGCCUAAAGAUACACAGCACAAAUGAGAAAAUUGGUGCCCAAUGUUUCUGAAGACCAGCAACUGCUAAGACAGAGACUUCGAGGGAACCCGACCUUGCCUGAAGGACCAACAGCGCCCCCUGCAGGACACUUCCCUCCAUUGAGAGAAGCCACAGGCGCCGGCCUGAGGCAUUCUGAGUGCGUGGAAUCCUCUAUUACCACCUCCUGGCAAAGAACGGAGCUGCAACCCAGCUAUAUGAGACACCGAGAAUGAUCUCAACAAAAAGGAACAGUGACCAGAAUGCCUGGGGGAGGAACAGGGGAUACUGGGUGGAAGGAGGGGAGAGGGAGAAGUUGUAAUAUUUUGUAAAAAUGAACAUUUUUACUCCUAAUCAAUAUACAAACAUCAUGCUCAGCAAA
ensembl:lncRNA MYREM MYBPC2 cis regulating lncRNA enhancer of myogenesis